rnacentral:rRNA from 1 species
GGUGAAAAGCACCCCGGAAGGGGAGUGAAAUAGAACCUGAAACCGUGUGCUUACAAGUAGUCAGAGCCCGUUAAUGGGUGAUGGCGUGCCUUUUGUAGAAUGAACCGGCGAGUUACGAUUUGAUGCAAGGUUAAGCAGUAAAUGUGGAGCCGUAGCGAAAGCGAGUCUGAAUAGGGCGUUUAGUAUUUGGUCGUAGACCCGAAACCAGGUGAUCUACCCUUGGUCAGGUUGAAGUUCAGGUAACACUGAAUGGAGGACCGAACCGACUUACGUUGAAAAGUGAGCGGAUGAACUGAGGGUAGCGGAGAAAUUCCAAUCGAACCUGGAGAUAGCUGGUUCUCUCCGAAAUAGCUUUAGGGCUAGCCUCAAGUGAUGAUUAUUGGAGGUAGAGCACUGUUUGGACGAGGGGCCCCUCUCGG